rnacentral:rRNA from 1 species
UAUAAUUUAUUUGAUAUUCUCUUACUACUUGGAUAACCGUAGUAAUUCUAGAGCUAAUUCAUGCAUCAACACCCAACUGUUCGCGGACGGGUGGUAUUUAUUAGAUUGAAACCAAUUGAGGGCAACCUCAUAUUGUGGUGAUUCAUAAUAACUUCGCGGAUCGCAGUGGGCUUUACGUCCGGCGAUAGAUCAUUCAAGUUUCUGCCCUAUCAGCUUUGGAUGGUAGGGUAUUGGCCUACCAUGGCUUUAACGGGUAACGGAGAAUUAGGGUUCGAUUCCGGAGAGGGAGCCUGAGAGACGGCUACCACA